rnacentral:rRNA from 1 species
CGGUAAUUCCAGCUCCAAUAGCGUAUACUAAAGUUGUUGCAGUUAAAAAGCUCGUAGUUGGAUUUCUGCGGGGACGGAGCGGCCGGUCGCAACUUGCGACUCGAGCUAGCGCUUUCCCCGCAUCCUGCCGCGAACCGUGCUACCAUUAGCUUGGUGGCGCUGGGGAUCGGCUCGAUUACUUUGAGAAAAAUAGAGUGUUCAAAGCAGGCCACACGCCUUGAAUAAGUUAGCAUGGAAUAAUGACUAAGGACUUCGGUUCUAUUUUGUUGGUGUUCGGGACUGAAGUAAUGAUUGAUAGGGACAGUUGGGGCGGUCUGUAUUCCAAAGCGAGAGGUGAAAUUCUUAGACCUUCGGAAGACAAACAGCUGCGAAAGCGUUCCGCAAGGAUGUUCCCUUUGAUCAAGAACGAAAGUUGGGGGAUCGAAGACGAUCAGAUACCGUCGUAGUCUCAACUAUAAACUAUACCAGCUAGGGAUCGGUCAACGUUUAAUCAUUCGACUUGAUCGGCACCUUAUGAGAAAUCAAAGCAUCUGGGUUCCGGGGGGAGUAUGGUCGCAAGGCUGAAACUUAAAGGAAUUGACGGAAGGGCACCACCAGCCGUGGAGCCUGUGGCUUAAUUUGACUCAACACGGGAAAACUUACCAGGUCCAGACAUAGUAAGGAUUGACAGAUUGAUAGCUCUUUCUUGAUUCUGUGGGUGGUGGUGCAUGGCCGUUCUUAGUUGGUGGAGUGAUUUGUCUGGUUAAUUCCGUUAACGAACGAGACCCCAGCCUGCUAAAUAGCGCGGCUGAGCUUUGCUCGGUGCGAGCUUCUUAGAGGGACUAUGAUGCGCGAUAGCACAUGGAAGUUUGGGGCAAUAACAGGUCUGUGAUGCCCUUAGAUGUUCUGGACCGCACACGGGCUACACUGGCGCCUGCAACGAGCAUAUCAGCUGGCCCGAGAGGGUCUCGGCUAAUCUUUUGAACCGGCGCCGUGCUUGGGAUUGACCAUUGCAAUUGUUGGUCAUGCAACGAGGAAUGCCUUGUAAACGCGAGUCAUCAGCUCGCAUUGAAUACGUCCCUGCCCUUUGUACACACCGCCC